CCUGUGCAGACUUCUCUCGGAAACAUUCUAGAACCUGAAGCCCUUCCCUUCAGCUAGUAUUCUGGUUCUGCCCAACCGUUGCUCCUCAGUUCCCUCGGUGCCUUAGCAUAAGUGGAAGUAACAUGACAGACAAAUGGGAGGUUGUGUGGGUUGUGUGGAUUCACAGAUGACCACUCGAGGAACCAGAGUUAGAGAAAGUAACCUGUCCUUCUUUGUGGUCUCUGUGAUUCACACCCAUGGGUGACUCCCAGCUAACUUAUUGGCUAGUGGGGUGUCACAGAAGCACAGCAGACAGCACUGCAUAACCAAACAAGGCACUCAAUUUGGAUCAAACAUCCAACCUAAAAUAGUUCAUAAAAGUCAUAGGCUGGGACUAAGUUGCAGCCAUGUAAAUGUGCUGUAAAAAGUCAUGUUUUAAAAAGUCUGUCGAGAGUGCCUUGAAAAUGCAUUCAAGGACAUCUGCAGUCUGGUUAUCCUCACUAGAGAUACGGACUGAUAUAAGACAAUGAAGAAUGAAAAUGAAGAGAGGGUAGGCUUGGCAGAAAACACACAACAAAACUCAAGAAGCUACAGUACAGUUUUCAGGAGAGGGAAUUCCUACCAACUUCCUAUGAAGAACAAACAUAGAAUA